GGGGACGAGACCCGAUGGAGAGGGAGAGGAAAAGGCCCAACACCUGCUUGUCAGGGCUCCUGGAUCACGCCCUGCUGCCUGCUGACCUAUAUUGGACUCAAGCCCUUCUUCUGGCAUGCUCACCUGUUAACCCACCUAUCAGCCCACACCUCUGACUGCUGGCUGCUCCCCAUUGAGCCUGAAAUACUGUGCUAUCUGCCUGUACCCUUUUGCAUAAGCUGGGGUUGGGGUAUCUCAGAUUUCUACCUGGGCCUGGUCAAGAUUGCCACAUACCUCACCUCUUCUGUUCUGGUCCUCAUCCUGUGUUUCUGGACAAAAAUAACAUUUGAGUAGAAAGCUUUUCUACUUGUUGACAUAGUUGAACAGAUUUUGCUUUAUUGAGAUGAAAUGGAGCCUAAAUUUAUCUGGAAAUGUGUGGAAUCAGUAGAGAGAAGUAAACACAACUCGAAGAAAGCGGGAAACCCCUGUGUACAAUUCAGCUUUUUCACUCCCAGGGAGUUGGGCAUGAUCGUAAAGAAUGAUGUUUUCAAGCCUGCCAAUAACAGAACACGUCUGUAUCCAUUGUGGAUGGGCUUCUGUUGAGAAAGCUUCCUUUUCGCCCAAGUAGAGGAGCUCUUCACUGCCCUAAGAUCCUGCUUUCCUACUCCCAUGUCAGAGCAGGAAAAGGUGAAUAUUUUUCACACAGAAUAGCCUCAUCC
rnacentral:lncRNA from 1 species